rnacentral:rRNA from 1 species
UAGGGAAUCUUCCGCAAUGGGCGAAAGCCUGACGGAGCAACGCCGCGUGAGUGAUGAAGGUCUUCGGAUCGUAAAACUCUGUUAUUAGGGAAGAACAAAUGUGUAAGUAACUAUGCACGUCUUGACGGUACCUAAUCAGAAAGCCACGGCUAACUACGUGCCAGCAGCCGCGGUAAUACGUAGGUGGCAAGCGUUAUCCGGAAUUAUUGGGCGUAAAGCGCGCGUAGGCGGUUUUUUAAGUCUGAUGUGAAAGCCCACGGCUCAACCGUGGUGGGUCAUUGGAAACUGGAAAACUUGAGUGCAGAAGAGGAAAGUAGAAUUCCAUGUGUAGCGAUGAAAUGCGCAGAGAUAUGGAGGAACACCAGUGGCGAACGCGACUUUCUGGUCUGUAACUGACGCUGAUGUGCGAAAGCGAGGGGAUCAAACAGG